AAAUUCUUACCUCAAUUCUAGCUUUAUGGACAGCUCUUCCACACAAGGAACUUGACGCUAAGGCUCAUUAUAUCCGGCACAAAGAAAUCAAAGGUGUGAAUGCUGUCAAGAUCCUUGCCAAGGGGCUUGAAGAUGCUAUUGCUGGCACUGAUUUACAGGUGCUGAAGCGUGGCGAUGAUUCAAUAGAUAUUAUCAGUCUUGAGCAGGAAUCAAAAGAUGAUUCAGAAGAUAAUAUCCUAAAGGAAAUACUGGAGGCUAUGAAAGCUGAACUCUGAAACGCAUAGUGGCCAUACUUAGCUAAAAUCCUUUCACGUCACCGUGUGGCAAACAUUUCAAUGUUUUGAAUCUGCUAUGAUCCCUUUACCUUAAAAGAUUUAUUUUAUUAUCUAUCUAUCUCUCAAACGUUAUACAAAUUAUUUAGCUAAAGAUGCUCAUUGAUCCGUUGAGUUUGAUGUUAGGGACAAGUGUAAAUGUUAUAUUUACCUAUAUUUGAGAUAUUGUCAUUUUUGUAGUACUAGUACGUUGUUUCGGUGUUAUG